AGAGUUUGAUCCUGGCUCAGAUUGAACGCUGGCGGCAGGCCUAACACAUGCAAGUCGAACGGUAACAGGAAGCAGCUUGCUGCUUUGCUGACGAGUGGCGGACGGGUGAGUAAUGUCUGGGAAACUGCCUGAUGGAGGGGGAUAACUACUGGAAACGGUGGCUAAUACCGCAUAACGUCGCAAGACCAAAGAGGGGGACCUUCGGGCCUCUUGCCAUCAGAUGUGCCCAGAUGGGAUUAGCUUGUUGGUGAGGUAACGGCUCACCAAGGCGACGAUCCCUAGCUGGUCUGAGAGGAUGACCAGCCACACUGGAACUGAGACACGGUCCAGACUCCUACGGGAGGCAGCAGUGGGGAAUAUUGCACAAUGGGCGCAAGCCUGAUGCAGCCAUGCCGCGUGUAUGAAGAAGGCCUUCGGGUUGUAAAGUACUUUCAGCGGGGAGGAAGGUGUUGUGGUUAAUAACCACAGCAAUUGACGUUACCCGCAGAAGAAGCACCGGCUAACUCCGUGCCAGCAGCCGCGGUAAUACGGAGGGUGCAAGCGUUAAUCGGAAUUACUGGGCGUAAAGCGCACGCAGGCGGUCUGUCAAGUCGGAUGUGAAAUCCCCGGGCUCAACCUGGGAACUGCAUUCGAAACUGGCAGGCUUGAGUCUUGUAGAGGGGGGUAGAAUUCCAGGUGUAGCGGUGAAAUGCGUAGAGAUCUGGAGGAAUACCGGUGGCGAAGGCGGCCCCCUGGACAAAGACUGACGCUCAGGUGCGAAAGCGUGGGGAGCAAACAGGAUUAGAUACCCUGGUAGUCCACGCCGUAAACGAUGUCUACUUGGAGGUUGUGCCCUUGAGGCGUGGCUUCCGGAGCUAACGCGUUAAGUAGACCGCCUGGGGAGUACGGCCGCAAGGUUAAAACUCAAAUGAAUUGACGGGGGCCCGCACAAGCGGUGGAGCAUGUGGUUUAAUUCGAUGCAACGCGAAGAACCUUACCUGGUCUUGACAUCCACGGAAGUUUUCAGAGAUGAGAAUGUGCCUUCGGGAACCGUGAGACAGGUGCUGCAUGGCUGUCGUCAGCUCGUGUUGUGAAAUGUUGGGUUAAGUCCCGCAACGAGCGCAACCCUUAUCCUUUGUUGCCAGCGAUUAGGUCGGGAACUCAAAGGAGACUGCCAGUGAUAAACUGGAGGAAGGUGGGGAUGACGUCAAGUCAUCAUGGCCCUUACGACCAGGGCUACACACGUGCUACAAUGGCGCAUACAAAGAGAAGCGACCUCGCGAGAGCAAGCGGACCUCAUAAAGUGCGUCGUAGUCCGGAUUGGAGUCUGCAACUCGACUCCAUGAAGUCGGAAUCGCUAGUAAUCGUGGAUCAGAAUGCCACGGUGAAUACGUUCCCGGGCCUUGUACACACCGCCCGUCACACCAUGGGAGUGGGUUGCAAAAGAAGUAGGUAGCUUAACCUUCGGGAGGGCGCUUACCACUUUGUGAUUCAUGACUGGGGUGAAGUCGUAACAAGGUAGCC
rnacentral:rRNA from 2 species